CUGCUUUCCAUUUGCCAGGAACUCUUGGGUAUCUCUCUCACUGACCACCUCUCUCUUGUUCUCUUUGUCUUUGAGUUUUAACUGUGUCCCUACUUUCACUUUCAUUUGCUCUUUGAACGGGGCAGGAUAACCACAUAUGAACAGUUUUCCACUUUUAACAGAAAAGCCGAAACCCACCCCCAAGAACUACUCCCAGUUCAGCGCGGACGUGGCGGAGGCCAUCGCCUUCUUUGACUCCAUCAUCGCAGAGCUGGAUACGGAGAAGCGGCCGCGGGCUGCGGAGGUGGACCUGCAGAAUGAAGACGUGGACUUCGAUGUGGCCACCAGCUCCCGGGAGCAUAGUCUGCACUCCAACUGGAUCCUCAGGGCGCCCCGACGGCGCUCCGAGGACAUCGUGGGGCACACAACAGCCGGCCAGGCCCGGAGGAGCACCGAGCGCCGGACCAUCGGUGCACAGAGGAGGCUCGAGAGGCACCCCAUUUACUUGCCCAAGGCUGUGGAAGGGGCCUUCAGCACUUUGAAAUUUAAGCCCAAAGCCUGCAAAAAAGAGUAAGUGCUUGGGCCACAGGCUGUAACCAAGAUGCUCGCAUGUCCACCAGACUCUUGCGGGGUGCUUCUUAGGCGCCCUGAACCCCAUCCUGCAUGGAAAAAUUCUUCCUAUUUAGGGGGAGGGAGGUCUUAGUUAAAAUUUUUUGUAAUAGCUUACAGGUAUAUUCUAGCUUGGUUCACCUCUGUCCCCAACCUUAACUGUCCCUUUAGCUCUGGGUCUACCUCCCUUUCUGGCCACUUAGCCCUCAUGCUUUGUCCAUCCUGUCUCAUUGGUUCCCCUAGAUGCCACUGAUACUCUGUAUGCUACAGAUUUUUAAUGACACUUUGGGGUGGAAGCAGGCAUAGCACCACUAGGGAACCAACCCUGAACCAAUUAGAUGGACCUGCCGUAGACAGGCAGCACCAGGCUGGGAUGAAGGGCUUCUUCCUGGCUGGGUCUGUGCUGGCCGUCUUGUCAUCAUCUCUUGGCCUCUUUCCCUGCACAUCCUCCUCUCCCAAGACGAGUUUCCAUCUCUAACUCCCAAAUCCCUGGGACUCACUCCUUCCGAGAAAUACGGGCACACUUGCUCUGGCCACCCUGGGGCACUCUGCAGGGAGCUCUCCUCUCACAAUAGAAGCACCUGUCUCGGCUUACCCCCGUCUUCUUUUGUUUUUCUGCAAGAGCCCUCCAACUCUGAUGGGUUCAGGGGUUUUCUAAAUGGCAUUUUCCCUCCUCCAUAAUAAAGGACCAUGUGCUGGACAUAUUAAGCCAGGACUCAGCCCUCAUCUCCCGUCCUUCCCCUCCAAGGUCAGGUCCCCCUGCAACCCUACAGUGACACAGCUCUGUCCUCCGCGAGUCCCAGCACAAGGGGAGCAUCCAACAGGCUCCAUCAGGAGGGUAAAUCAGAGCGUCCUUUCCCUGUGCGACCAGCCAAGCCAAACCGAAGCCCUCUGCCUCAUUCCUCCCUUCCAGCCUCGGGAGCUCCAGACAGAUCCUCUUCAACUUCUCGGGAGAAGAUACGGACUGGGACUCGGAGCUCUUUGCACCAGAGCCCCCGGCAUCCCUGGGAGAGGACCACUAUGAGACGGAGAACCCCCAAGGGCAGUGGCUGCUUCGGGAGCAACUCUGGGAGCAGACUGUGCCCUGAUGGCCUCAGCUUGGCAGCCUGGCCAGGCUGGGUCCCCCAGAAGGAGUCUGCUUUCAGUGAAGCAGCAGGUGUGUGAUAGAGUUAAAGAUGGGUCAAGUCAGGUCCUUGAACACGUGGCCUGCUGGUGCCCAGUCAUUGCCGAAGACACCUGCACGGCCUCCCAGGGGGCCCGCCGCAGGGCACUUGCGGGGCUCUGCUUUCUCUGCGUGGGCAGGUGGGCCGGUCGUUACCGCCCUACUGGUCUUUAAGAGCAGAGGGAACGGAAGGUCCAGGCUCACUCCUGGCCUCCCCUGGUACAGGGGAACAUCCCACUUGGUACUGGAAACCAAGAAACGCAUCCAUCCACUCAUCUCUGGGCCAAAGUUUUCAGAGAGGCGACUCCUCUGUCCACGGGGCUCAGAAACUCUCUGAUCACCUACUGAAAUUGCUUCUCUGCAGAAUGCCGUUUGGGAAGCAGCUUUUUUUUUUUUUCCCCCUCAACCCUCUUUUCACAGUGUUCUGGAAAUUUCUGCUGGAUUAGGCUGAAGAUGAGGCCAGUGUCCUGGCAGCGGGAGGGGAGAUGCGGUGUGUGAGGGCCCUGCCUCGGGACCACACUGUCUCCCCCAGCCCCAAAGCUCAGCUCCGCUUCUCACAGACAGUUGCCUGGGCAAGAAGGAAGAUGAAAUUAUACUUCGUUUCUAAUUCUCGGUCCCUUAAUCCUAACAGAUAUCCAGCCUGUGGAUGAAAGCUAGGGCCCUCGCUUCCCCCAGUUUCGAGGGCAAUCAGAACCUUCCGGAGUAGAAAGGAUUUUGAUUUCCCUAACUGUCCAAAUUACAGAGACUCCCCCCCUGGUGGGCCAGUGGCUCAGACUCCAUGCUUCCACUGCAGGGGGCUGGGGUCCAUCCCUGGUUGGGGAACUAGGAUCCCAUGUGCCACGUGGUGUGGCCAGUAAGUAAAAAUAAAGACAAAGAAAAUAGUUCUCUUAAGAAAUAGUUUUAAAAAGGAAUUACUUUUUUGCACGUUUUGCAUAUGGUUUGACCCCCUCAAGUCUGAGAACCGCUGGAUUGGAGACUAUGCUGAGCUUUGUCCAGCCUCACCUAUUUCUUCUGGCAUUUUCUUAUAAGAAAAAAAAAAGUCACCCAGGGCAGGGGAGAGGUGCAGGGGUGUUAGUGGUGAUAAUGGAGGAAAACAGACUAGGAAAAAUUAAUAAUUGAAAUUAAGCCAAGGUUGGUUUAGGCUAAGGGUCCUUCUGUGAAGUGAAUAAAGCUUUCCUUCUCCCAGGCCCAUGGGAUAAUAUUCUUAUUGUUCAGGUUUUAUUAGAAAGAAGCUUUUAUUUAUGUUAUUUUGACUCUGAAUCUUAAGUAUUCGUAACUUCUGUGAGAAAGAAAAAAAAACUAAUAAUUAUCUGACAUUCUUAAAUGUUUUUUCUAGUUUAAAUAAAAAUGUUUAAAAAGUUCUCAGUUGAUGCUGAUUCUGCUGUUCUGGGGUCCAUAUUUUGAGAAUUGAUGACUUAGAGGUUUGAAUGUUAAACCUGAUGAAAACCUGGCGUGGGGUGUGGGCAAGAAAUUUUAUAUCAACACAUUUUCAGAAUGAAAAUGUAUAGCAAAUGUUUUAAGACUUGCCUUUCUUAUUCUUUGAGUGCCAAUGUCAAUGUUUGGAAGUUUUCGUUUUGUUUUGUUUUUGCUCAUCCUAAGCCCACUAGAGCCAGAGGCUUGUCUGAAGAAUAAAUGUUUGGGACAUUUGUUUUAUGAACUGCAUUAAUGCACGCCAAGUCAGAUCACUGUGUGUCUUUAUUUUCUCCAAAUGUGGCCUUAUUUUGAAGCCCCACAAAGGAGAGUUCACUGUUCGGGAUAGACUCAGCAUGAGGGUCUCUAGGGUCUGCCCUUAUCAAACUCUGGUCGAUUCGACCCUGACAUCAAAUGGUGAACACACUUUAUGUAUUUUGCUUGUAUAGGUAAGAAAAAAUGAGCAGGGCAGGUAGGGAUCAUUGGAGUCUUGAUUUUUUAUUUUUUAGCAUUUAUUGCUUAUGGGACACGAAACUGUGCUUUUCUCUUUUGCCUCACGUUUUGUAUAUUUUUUGUCUUUGAUGAGACUAUACACAGACUGCCUGAAAAACUCCAUGCUUCAGAAACAUAAGGCUGGCUUGUCUUGGGGGUGGUUUUAGGUCUUUGAAAUUGGUGAUAAACCCCAGGAUCUGGGCUCUGCCUGGGGAAUCCUGAGAUGGUGUCCGCUGGGAUCUUGUAAUUCGUAACAUUUGAGACAAUAAAAGUCAACUCAGUUAAAUCGACUCAUGUGAUUCUUUCCCUGCCUGGAGCUGACUAGUUACUCAGUUGGUUCGUCACUGGGGUACAAUGUUAGCAGCGCCAGCUUUCCCAGGACUGUCCAUUUUGAUGUAUGAAAAUCUACCUAUCCCCAGACAGAAUAUUCAAAUAGAG
rnacentral:lncRNA from 1 species